UGUUUCUAAAAAUGUUUUAUAUAGGAUAAAAAACAAGGAAAAAGGAAAAAGAAGAAGAAGAAUCGUUCACAUAAAUCUUCUGAAAGCUCCAUGUCAGAAACUGAAUCGGACAGUAAGGAUAGUUUAAAAAAGAAAAAGAAGUCAAAGGAUGCAACUGAGAAAGAAAAGGACAUUAAAGGACUCAGCAAAAAAAGAAAGAUGUAUCCUGAAGAUAAACCUUUAUCAUCUGAGUCCUUAUCAGAAUCGGAUUAUAUUGAGGAGGUACGAGCAAAAAAGAAGAAAAGCAGUGAAGAACGAGAAAAAGUAAUAGCAAGUAUCACUUAUAUUUUUUACGUGAUGGUAGUGUAGCUCUGUUCGUUUAAUAUAAAAUGAAUCAUGGUAAAGCAUGACUUCAUUUACUGGGGCCAAAUAAAUAUUUAUUGGGAAAAGUGUGGUGUUCA
rnacentral:lncRNA from 1 species